CCUACGGGAGGCAGCAGUGAGGAAUAUUGGUCAAUGGACGAGAGUCUGAACCAGCCAAGUAGCGUGAAGGAUGACUGCCCUAUGGGUUGUAAACUUCUUUUAUAUGGGAAUAAAAUGUUUCACGUGUGGGAUUUUGUAUGUACCAUAUGAAUAAGGAACGGCUAACUCCGUGCCAGCAGCCGCGGUAAUACGGAGGAUCCGAGCGUUAUCCGGAUUUAUUGGGUUUAAAGGGAGCGUAGGUGGAUUGUUAAGUCAGGUGUGAAAGUUUGCGGCUCAACCGUAAAAUUGCAGUUGAUACUGGCAGUCUGGAGUACAGUAGAGGAGGGCGGAAUUCGUGGUGUAGCGGUGAAAUGCUUAGAUAUCACGAAGAACUCCGAUUGCGAAGGCAGUUCACUGGACUGCAACUGACACUGAGGCUCGAAAGUGUGGGUAUCAAACAGGAUUAGAUACCCGGGUAGUC
rnacentral:rRNA from 1 species